AAGUCCACUCUGAUUGAAUCAUAACUUGGUCUUAAAAGUUGGAGUUCAUAUCAAGGCUUCAAAUCAAGGGUUUGUUGAUCUUCGAUUUGUUUUCUUUUCUGACAAAUAAAUGUCGUCUGCACAAAGAUCUGAUUUUUGCAAUCUCCUUAUUGCCCUUUGGUUCAAGCAAAUCCAUUCGAAAGGAUCCAAACAUCAGGUAACCAAUA